UACGUAGGCAGCAAGCGUUGUUCGGAGUUACUGGGCGUAAAGGGUGUGUAGGCGGUUGUUUAAGUUUGGUGUGAAAUCUCCCGGCUCAACUGGGAGGGUGCGCCGAAUACUGAAUGACUAGAGUGCGGGAGAGGAAAGUGGAACUCCUGGUGUAGCGGUGAAAUGCGUAGAUAUCUGGAAGAACACCAAUGGCGAAGGCAAUGUUCUGGCUCGUUUCUGACGCUCAGGUGCGAAAGCCAGGGGAGCGAACGGG
rnacentral:rRNA from 1 species